GAACGGCCAUGCACCACCACCCA
rnacentral:siRNA from 1 species